rnacentral:rRNA from 1 species
CAGACGUGGUAAUACGUAGGGUGAAGCGUGCCCGGAUUUAUUGGGCGUAAAGGGCGCGUAGGCGGCUCGAUACGUUCGUUGUGAAAUCGCCCGGCUCAACUGGGCGGUGUCAGCGAAUACGGUCGAGCUUGAGCAAGCUAGGGGGCAAUGGAAUUCCCGGUGUAGUGGUGGAAUGCGUAGAUAUCGGGAGGAACACCAGUGGCGAAGGCGGUUGCCUGGGGCUUUGCUGACGCUGAUGCGCGAAAGCGUGGGGAGCGAUCCGGAUUAUAUACCCGGGUAGUCCACGCCGUAAACGAUGUCGACUAGGUGUCGGGGGUAUCGACCCCCUCGGCGCCGCAGCUAACGCAUUAA